GACGAACGCUGGCGGCGUGCUUAACACAUGCAAGUCGAACGGAAAGGCCCUGCUUUUGUGGGGUGCUCGAGUGGCGAACGGGUGAGUAACACGUGAGUAACCUGUCCUUGACUUUGGGAUAACUUCAGGACACUGGGGCUAAUACCGGCUAGGAGCUCCUGCCGCAUGGUGGGGGUUGGAAAGUUUCGGCGGUUGGGGAUGGACUCGCGGCUUAUCAGCUUGUUGGUGGGGUAGUGGAUUACCAAGGCUGUGACGGGUUGCCGGGCUGCGAGGGUGGCCGGCCACAUUGGGACGGAGAUGCGGCCCGGACUCCUACGGGAGGCAGCGGUGGGGAAUAUUGCACAAUGGACGGAAGCCAGAUGCAGCACCGCCGCGUGCGGGAUGACAGCCAGCGGUUUGGAAACCGCUUUCGCCUGUGACGAGGCGUGAAUGACAGUAAUGGGUAAAUAAGCACCGGCUAACUACGUG
rnacentral:rRNA from 1 species